CAGUCGUACCGACGGAAAAUCAGCUCUUCGAGUGCGAACUUGUGGGUGUACGUGAGCUUUAACCGGCCUCGUUGUUUGCGAUGUUUGUGCUUUUUGGGUGUUACUUUUUCGUUAGGUAGGCCAACGUCAGUCUCGGUCACCAUUAAAUGGUCAAAGGAAUGUAGCUUCGAUCUUGUAUUGAAGUGUUAUAGCCUCUGGUAGAUGUGGUGAACGAAACU
rnacentral:rRNA from 1 species